UAAGGGUAACAGGAUUGACGAUAGCAACAACACAGGAUUCAGCUGUUUACAAUGGCCCCUAUGCGGUAAAUACAUAUUUCCACAUCAAAUCUUUUAUUUAAACAGCUUUCAGUAAUUGCUACAAAGACAGGAAUCUGUCUCAGGCUACAUGGUGGCAUUCUUGUCCAGAGGUCAGCUCUUGACCUCCCCAUGACCCCUGGCUAACCACAGAG